rnacentral:rRNA from 1 species
AUGGGGUGACUGCGUACCUUUUGUAUAAUGGGUCAGCGACUUAUAUUCUGUAGCAAGGUUAACCGCAUAGGGGAGCCGUAGGGAAACCGAGUCUUAACUGGGCGAAUGAGUUGCAGGGUAUAGACCCGAAACCCGGUGAUCUAUCCAUGGGCAGGUUGAAGGUUGGGUAACACUAACUGGAGGACCGAACCGACUAAUGUUGAAAAAUUAGCGGAUGACUUGUGGAUGGGGGUGAAAGGCCAAUCAAACCGGGAGAUAGCUGGUUCUCCCCGAAAGCUAUUUAGGUAGCGCCUCGUGAACUCAUCUUCGGGGGUAGAGCACUGUUUCGACUAGGGGGUCAUCCCGACUUACCAACUCGAUGCAAACUGCGAAUACCGAAGAAUGUUAUCACGGGAGACACACGGCGGGUGCUAACGUCCGUCGUGAAGAGGGAAACAACCCAGACCGCCAGCUAAGGUCCCAAAGUCAUGGUUAAGUGGGAAACGAAGUGGGAAGGCUCAGACAGCCAGGAUGUUGGCUUAGAAGCAGCCAUCAUUUAAAGAAAGCGUAAUAGCUCACUGGUCGAGUCGGCCCGCGCGGAAGAUGUAACGGGGCUAAACCAUGCACCGAAGCUGCGGCAGCGA